CAUUUCUUUAGUUUUCUUACUUUUAUAUAUCAUGAACCGUUUUAGUGAACAUCCGGUAAUUGAGAUGUGGCGAUAGAGGCAAGAAUAGAGGAAGUCGACAUUAUCAGCACUGUAGUGCACCCAAAUGUUGGGAUUUGCAUGGAUCAACAAUAAGCAUCCUAAGAUCUCAGCAAGUUACCGUAAAUUUUUUUCACAUAGAGGUACUUCCACCUUAACUAAGAGUACAAGAAGCUGCUGCUGCUAAAGAGGAGCAAGAGUAUGAGCAUUCGGGUAUCAUAUCAAAAUCCAAUGUAGAUUUAUGUAAUAACAUCGCUAAAUAUUUUCGUUUGUUAUAUUUCUGUUACAGUUUGAAAAUUUAAUUUUAUUGAUCAUAAAGCUAAAAUGCUUCCAUAUUUUGCUGAACUUGAUGCAAUAUGAUUAGUAAAAACUAAUGCAAAACAGGAAGGAUUCUACUGGUUCACAAGCAGCAGCUAAGAAACACUCUUUCCAUCUUCAAACAAGUAUAAAUGACAAGAUUUAAACCUUACAAUUCACGCAGCAGAUGUGAUCUUCCAUAACAUUUACAUCUGAAGCCUCACAACUACCACUGAAAUGUCA